UACGUAGGGGGCAAGCGUUGUCCGGAAUCAUUGGGCGUAAAGAGCGCGUAGGCGGCCCAGUAAGUCCGCUCUGAAAGUCAGGGGCUCAACCCCUGGAUGCGGGUGGAUACUGCUGGGCUAGAGUACGGAAGAGGCGAGUGGAAUUCCCGGUGUAGCGGUGAAAUGCGCAGAUAUCGGGAGGAACACCAAUUGCGAAGGCAGCUCGCUGGGACGUCACUGACGCUGAGACGCGAAAGCGUGGGGAGCAAACAGG
rnacentral:rRNA from 1 species